GCUUAUUGUGAGGAAACGUUCUUCGGCCAAUUACAUUCGGCUAAUAUUUACAUAUUGUGCUUUACGUGAAAUGCGUCAACAGAUUGAGAACGCAAACGACAGAAUCUACCAGUGCUGCAAAAAGUUGGGUAAAAAACCUACCCUAUCUCCAUCGCCUACUGCCAAAAAGACCAACAGCAUGCACAACCGGUAAAGUAAAUGUUACCAGUGGGAGUACAAGUAGAGGACAGGCAAGCCUAGUGGCUGUGCGGGGGUCUAUUAGAAGGACUGCUUCUCCCUGCUGUCCAGUCAUCCAAUGUUGAUGGGUGUAUCUCCAACCUGUCUGUACAGGACUUUGAAGCACAAGCUAUGGCAACUAUGAACAGUGAGUCCAGACCCAGUAUAGAGCACAGUCUGAGGCUGACGUCAACCUACUCCCACUACCUGACAGAGGACGGCAGGCCUGAGAUCACCACCUGGAGACUGCAUGAAUCAGGCCUUCAUUGUCGAAUUGCUGCAAAGAAACCACUACUAAAGGAAACCAAUAAGA